ensembl:lncRNA
AAGAAGAUGAAGAUGAAGAUGAAGAUGAAGAUGAAGAUGAAGAUGAAGAUGAAGAUGAAGAUGAAGAUGAAGAUGAAGAUGAAGAUGAAGAUGAAGAUGAAGAUGAAGAUGAAGAUGAAGAUGAAGAUGAAGAUGAAGAAUAGUUCAAUAAAUAUGCUCUUCACAUAUUUGAAAUGGCUUUUAAUGGAUUUUUGAAGACUUGGAGCCAGGCUCUAUCUCUUUGCAUUACACAGGUGAACUGCCUUCACCUGUGGUCCUGCAGCUGACUUAGUGGUUGCCUCACAUGAUCAAUCAGUGGUUCAGGCCAAUCUUCAACACUUCCCAUACACUCAACCCCUUCAUAGUAUGAACCAAUCAGUUAAGUAGACAGUGAGCCUUCCCUAAUACAUAGAGAUCUGACACACCACAACGCUAUACCAUUGCCCGUCACGAUAACACUAUUUAAUAAGAGUGAUAAUCAGUAUACAGUGUAUGUUCAUGCUCUUUCAUGAGCCCGUGCUUCAUGUUAUUACUGGAGGCAUGUGGUCUUGACGUUAAGGCCCAUCCUGUGCUCCAUCAGUCCAAUGUAGACGGUUCACUGGGUGUCGCACAAGAUCUCACAGGAACGCUAUGAUGGUAUUUUGUUCCUUCCGAUCAUCCUAGAGGCUUGAAGACUCAUAGAGACUAAUACACAGGUUUGAGGGGUACAAGCAGGAGAAGGUCCACCCUCCAGGGUGAGAUACAGGCUUUAUUUCCAUCUUGGGUCAUCACUACAGUCUGUUCAGGGGCAUGCCCCAACUGCCUGUACCGUACCCUUUGGCCAGAUUUCUGCAGCUGCUCAACUACAUCAGUCAUCGGAGGGGGUGUCCUCAUCUGCCAUAGGGACAUGAUGGGGGGGUCCCUUUAGCAAGGGAGAUCAGAGUGUUGACUACAAUAUCCGUAGGCCACAGACCUAUUGGUGGGAUAAUCAAAAAUAAAUGAAAAAGCUCAUCCACAUCCUAGGCUCGCAGAGAAACUCCCAAAGGAAGCAACUUCCAAGAAGGGAUCCUUCCUCAGUGGCUGUUAGCCCUUAAACGGGGGCUAGGAGAGGGGGAGCUGGGCUCCACCACUUUUGGUCACACAGUUCCUGUAAGGACAGAGGGAAGGGGAACAAGAGAGAGAAAGAGAACACACCGGAAUUUAUGUAUUCUUCUUCUCUUUGAGCUCUGAAGUAUGAGAAUUCAGCAUGCCAGAUUAUGGUACUGUUUGUGGUGUAAUUUGUCAUGGACAAUUGUGCUCUUUCUUCACCAUCUUUGUUAGUAAUUGAUACUCCUUCCAAGAUAUAAACACUGUAUUUCUGCCAUGACAGACAACAAAUCUGCAAUAGAGAUUCACAGAUAAUUAAAACAAACAAUCAAACCCGUUUAUGUUGUUUCUACUCAUCCUUUCAGCACAAGUGUCUCUUCUGGAGUAAGUGCUUCAACUAUUCAAUGCAUUUUAAAAGCAUCGCUAACAAGGAGCCAGUAUAGCUAGGAGCAGCGCUGAUAAGGAGCAUACACUGAUUUCCUUUCCUGGAAAUCUUAUGUAUUUUCCUUACCUUAUUGUAUGAAAGUAUUUGCA